rnacentral:rRNA from 1 species
GUAACGGCUUACCAAGGCGACGAUCAGUAGCCGACCUGGGAGGGUGAUCGGCCACAUUGGAACUGAGACACGGUCCAAACUCCUACGGGAGGCAGCAGUGGGGAAUAUUGCACAAUGGGCGAAAGCCUGAUGCAGCAACGCCGCGGGAGUGAUGAAGGCCUUCGGGUCGUAAAACGCUGUCCUCAAGGAAGAUAAUGCCGGUACUUGAGGAGGAAGCCCCGGCUAACUACGUGCCAGCAGCCGCGGUAAUACGUAGGGGGCUAGCGUUAUCCGGAUUUACUGGGCGUAAAGGGUGCGUAGGCGGUCUUUCAAGUCAGGAGUGAAA